CCGUAGGGGCCUCUCUUUCUCCUUCUUUCCUGGUCUUCCCUCUCCUUUCUUUUUCCUUUCCCUUUUUCCUUUCCCUCUCCCUUCUUCCCUUUUCUCUUUCUUUCCAACCUUGGGGGCUUGAGGUUGGAAGAGGAGAGCGGAAUUCCCGGUGUAGUGGUGGAAUGCGUAGGUAUCGGGAGGAACACCAGUAGCGAAAGCGGCUCUCUGGUUCAAUACUGACACGGAGAUGCGAAAGAGUGGGGAGCGAAAGG
rnacentral:rRNA from 1 species